CCCCUCUGGGUUCCUGGAGACAGGUGGCAAACUUAAGAGGCUCAGGGGAGGCAAGGAAGGUCAGUGUGAAUGGGACUGGCUCAGAAUGGAGUAGAGAAGGCCUUGAUGCACCUCACAACCUGGUGCCUAUGGUGUGCAUUUUCAGGUCAUGCAAAAGAAGCUGCAUGCCAGCCACAGAUGCAGAGUGUUUUCAGACUUCUUCCCAGCAUCGCUGCUCAUCCAACUGAUACGCACUUGAGGGAAGAGAUACCUUCACAUGCUUGAGAAGUGGGCCAGUGUGAACCUCCUGAAGUUCACCAAGGACAAGUGAAAGGUCACACACCUAGAUUGGAGCAAUCAUCAUUUUCACUACAGGCUGGGUGGUGAAUGGAUUGAGAGCAGCCCUGCAGAGCUGAGACCUAGCUAUAC
rnacentral:lncRNA from 1 species